GAGGGUGGGAGGUCUGAGCUUUGAGCACGUAGCCUGCUUACAAAUCACCACGACCAAAACUCAGCGUGCGGGAGUUCGCCUCGCACCUUGCAGAUUUCCGUCGCUCCAACGCAGAUGAGGAUGAUGCUGCUGCUGCUGAUGAAGCUCCACUUCUGAGCGACUUCCAGUCCGCUCCGCACAGCCGGAGCAGCGGGAGCAGCAGGAGCCUUCCUCCCUCCUCCUCCUCCCUUUUCUCCUCCCCCGCUGCUAAGUCAAAAGAUUAACAGACCCCCACACUGCAGGGAGGCGACAGCAUUCGCAGAUCCGGAUCCAGAUCGAGCCUCUGCAGGGAAAAAAACCCCAAACCCGGAGCGUAUAGAACCGAGCCGAACCGGGAAGGAAGACAUCUGCGCUGAAAACGAGGGGAAAUGUUAGAACUAUGAUACGAGUUUUUGUUCUUAAUUCCUCAGCAGCUUCAUCGCGGGGCUUCUCGGUGGAGCUUCACCCGGACAGUGACACUUUUAUCGGCUCAUCAUCGACACUGAAGGAGGGAGGGGGGAUCCACUUAUUGGCCACCCGACUGCGCUUCUAAAUCACGCCAGGACGAUUGAGCCCAAGUGCAAUACGAAUGGUUUGGGCAUGGUGCCCACGCCCCAGGUGUGCGUAUCAACCCUGGUCACGGUGAGCACGAUGGCGGUGGUGGACCUCUAUCUGCUGGAGCAGAGCAUGCUGGGAGCUCGCGGCAUGUCUGGACCCAGCGUGUGGCAGUACGUGACGGUGCUGUUGGGAGACGCCUGCUUCCUGCUCGCCCUGCGCUUCGUCUCGGCCGGCGUGGUUUCCGAGGCGCAGUCGUCGCGCCGCGGUUUCGCCAACGCCUUGUGGUUCCUCUUCCUGUCGCUGCUGCAGCUGAAGCUCUUCUUCGUCUGCCACAACUACAGGCAGGAGCGGCGGCCGCCCGACCCGCUGGCCAGGAAGACGCUGACGCUGCUGCUGUCCAUCUGCCUGCCCUCCCUGUUCCUCAUCCUCACCGGCGCUGAUCAUAUGACUCCUCAGCGCAGGAAGCAGGAAGUCCGGAGCCGGCUCCUGUGGGUCGUCGUCGACCUCCUGGACGUUCUGGACCUGCAGGCGGGGCUUUGGGAAGCCCAGGGCGGGUCUGGAGGCGUGGUUGAGCAGAGGCUGCCGAUCUGGGCGGAAGGCCUGGUCUUCUUCUACUGCUACGCGCUUUUGCUGCUGCUGCCGUGCGUGGCGCUAACGGAGCUGGGCGCCACCGGGCUGCCCGGGCAGAGGGGCCCCCGCCGGGAGGCUCUGUACCCCUGGCUCAGCUUGGUCACCAUCAACAUUUUCACCCUGGCUCUUCGGGGAACCGGCAUGCUGUGGUACAGAGACUCCCGCGUGUCGACUGUGUUUCUAGGGAAAAACUUAUUGGCGCUGGCCGUGAAGCUCAGCUCAGCAUGGGAGAGACACAAGCAGGAGCGCGGCGCUUCAGGAGCCGGAACCGCGCCUGGAUCGGAACCAGAAGCUUCCACCGCGCCGCCGAGCCAGAACUCAGAGCAGGACGAGGGCCAGGCUCAGGGGAAAGCUCCUCCUGCUCAUUUCCACACACUAACACGCUCACAAAGCCACACUCUGUCCCACGUCAGCCUGGAGCCGACGGCGACCCCUCUGGGCCCGUCUUUUAUCUCCCAUGAACUGUAGAGAAUCACACCCAACAUGCAUGCAUGCAAAUACUGUAUGUGCGCACACAGAGACGUUACAAACCCUCCAGCAGACCAGAGCCGGCGUCGCCUCCCAGCAGAUAACAGCGGCGGGCAAAACGUGAAGCUGUGGAAAUGCAUUUGGCACGCUCGUCUGUUCGUGCAUUACAUCGCGCUGGGAGCAACUUGAAAUGCAUUGUUGUGAUUUGUGGGAGUGCAUUUUUAGAGUCAACACUGUGAACAGCACUGCCAGACUGUAAAGCGUAUUGUAGAGAUGUUGAAGCCUAGAGUGAUGGAGCCUUUCAUCUGUAAAUGUAUCGAGACGUUGGGCGUCACAGGGUUGACAUCUGCUGCUGUACGGUUAAGUGCCUUGUUUCCUCAUGGAGCGACGAGAGGCACACCCGUUCGGUGCACCAUGUGGAACUGGGUCAAAAACUGUGAGCCGGGUUCUGAUGCACAUUCAGAGUGAAAACUAGUAAACAAAGUGUCUCAUAUCCACCGGAUGCUGACACUUCAUUUGGGUUUGUGAUGAAUAAAUACUGGGUUUAAAGCUAAAGCUGCGUUACAGAUUUGUUCUGAUUUUGUUAACGAAUCAUUAAAAACAUUGGCAAAUCAUCAAUUAUCUGAUUAAUCACAUUUUUCAAACAGCUUUGGUAGGGCUGGAGACAUUCACUGAGCACAUUGUCUGUAGAGGCUUUGUCCCUGAUGUAUCUAUGGAUCUUAGUUGUUUCGUCCUGGACAGUGGUUCUCACACUCACUAGCCCUCUGCCUCCUUCCUUGCGGCUCGUGUUCAGCCUCAGGGUGCUGGUUUUGGGGUGGAACCCUCCAUGCAUUGUUAGUAGUUUUCUAGUCUUAAUAUCUGGAAUAUCUUUUAGUCUGUAGCUUGGAAACAAAUAUCAACAUCCAACAGAACAAAACUGAUCCAUCCUAUUUUAUUUGCUUUAGAUCACUUUUAUUUCAAAAUGAUUUCUAACUGCGAGCCAAAACUAAACACGAAGAGAAUUCAUUCAACUUCUAUGCACCACAAAUCUGGAACAAACUUCCAGAAAACUGAAAAACAGCGGAAACGCUGAGUUCCAUUAAAGAAAGGCUAAAACCACCUGUUUAGUGUUGCUUUUGAACCAUAAUUAAUGAAACAUUGAUCAACAUAUUUGAUGUUUAUUGAUGAUUUUAAUGAUGGCACUCGACAAAAUGUAAUGUUUGGCAACUGAUUUUCUCAAUUGUUGCUUUUAUUCACUAUUUUUUUAUGAUGUAAAGCACUUCGAACUGCCUUGUUGCGGAAAUGUAUUGAUUUAUUGAUAAACUCCACAAUAAUGACAGAAAAUAUGCCAGAAGGUUACAUACAUGUAUGAUUCAGGUCAAACUUUCACCAGCUUCUCGCGGGAGUUAAAUAAAUUAAACCAGAAUCUAAAAACUGCAUUUUGAUCUCAGUUAAGAAGAAAUCUGUAUAAUUUGUUGCACCAUAAAAGUCCAGCAGGAGCGGCAGGAAGUUUUCAGAUGUGACUGAGUGAAAUCAGGCGAAAAGCCGUCGUUUAUCACGCCGGCGGCCCAGAUCUUCUGGCUCAGAGGAUCCGUCUGUCUUUAACGCCUCAGAAGGUGAUGAGGGCCGUGUUUUAAGGGCAGCAGUAAAAGCGGGCCAUCUUUUCUUUUUAUGAAUGCACCUGCUGCUCUCUUUUCUCAGCUUUCACAGCUUUUAAUUGAAAGCGAGGCCUUUUUUUGUUGAACAGGAAGUGCUCAUUUUAAAGCUUGAUUUCAGAGGACGCAUUAAGACUAAUGCAGGCUCUGUUCAUUUAGAGUCACUGCGGGGACGUUGACUCCGGAUCAGGGAGAAGCCUCAGAGGGACAACCAACCUGGCAGACAGCAUGCAGCCUCUGUCUUUCAUCUCUCCCCCUCCUUUGUUCGCUCUACAUUUCAAACACAUGCACUCCGCAUGCAGUCCCUGUUGGGCAACUUCUCAUAUUUCUAUUACACUAAAAGCACCGGCUGCAAGGGCAGCAGCCGCGGAAAAUGACUGCCUCCUAGAAUUUGUUACACCUGUUAAGCUGCAGAUACGAUGCUCAGCAUUUUCCUCUCACUCUCAUGAGUUGCUCUUCAAGAAAAGCCACUUCUGUUUGCUUUCUUCUCUCCCUCCUCCUUAUUAUCCAUUGUGCUAAUUAUUCCAAAAGCUGUCAGUUCCUCCUUUUGUCUCCGGUUCGCUCUUUUUAUUUCUCUCGUUUGUUUAAAUUUGCCCUGCAGCCGACAGGGAGUCUACCUCUCUGCACUUCCCUGUCAGGGGUGGUUAGUCAGAGCCAGGGAGAAAAAAUGAGAAGAAGAGGAUGGCUAAGAUUAAAGGGCUGGGGCAGCUGCCCGAAGCAGAAUGGCUCUCCACUGCCAUUUAUCUGCUGCUUCCUUCGUGUAUUUAGAGCUGGAGCACAGAGCCACGACACAGCAUCCUGAUAACAAUGACGUUUCCAACGAGAGGAGCCUUUAAACAAACAUACGGCUUCGUUCUGCUUCGCUGAGUCCUUCCUGACGAAGCGCAUCACCUCAUUACUCCGAUGCAUAUGAGCUCAAACGCACCUAUCUGCACAGAGAGGCCACAUUUAACGGACAGAUGUCUAAAUCAUUCAUCUCGCCGUCAGCACCACUGCUUUGGGAAGAAAACUUCAAAGAAAAACUCUAAGAGAAGAGAUGAUGCAAAAGAAUCUGAUAUGCAACGCAAUACUGCGGGCGAACGAAUACUAAUGCAGGUCUCAGACGGAGCGGUGACAUUUACCGUAGGGACCAAUGAAAAAAAAAAACGUGCAAUAAAUUUCUAUAGUUGUUUCACCAACCUGAAGUUGUUUAAAGGUUUUGAUCUCUGAGAAUUUAAUUCACAAAGAAGAUUUUUUUUUUUACAGAAAGUCAAAUGAAAGAUGAAGGAUUACGUUCCCAACUUCCACAAGAGUUAACAUCGAUGUAAACACUAAUACAGAUUGUAUUUUAAGUGUAACUAGAUUA